rnacentral:tRNA from 1 species
GUCCUUGUAGUAUAACUGAAUGCCCUGGUCUUGUAAACCAGAAAUGGAGAACGUUUACUCCCCAGGACA